UACGUAGGGGGCAAGCGUUGUCCGGAAUCAUUGGGCGUAAAGCGCGUGUAGGCGGUCCGGUAAGUCCGCUGUGAAGGUCGGGGGCUCAACCCUCGGAUGCCGGUGGAUACUGUCGGGCUUGAGUACGGAAGAGGCGAGUGGAAUUCCUGGUGUAGCGGUGAAAUGCGCAGAUAUCAGGAGGAACACCAAUUGCGAAGGCAGCUCGCUGGGACGUUACUGACGCUGAGGAACGAAAGCCAGGGGAGCGAACGGG
rnacentral:rRNA from 1 species